rnacentral:misc_RNA from 1 species
ACAAACUUGGUCAUUUAGAGGAAGUAAAAGUCGUAACAAGGUUUCCGUGCAAGUCUGCUGGAACAGUGAUUCCUUCCGCAGUGUACACUUACCGAAGCCUCUGCAGCCGUGCAAGCGGUAGGCCCGAGCGACUCGAAACAAGUCGGUGCCGUUGCAAGUCCCAGGUCUCGCCUGGGGCGACACUCUCGAAUUGACGGGAACACCCUAAAGCCAGUCGCACCAAGCCGCGGUGAGAAAUCGCGCGGUGGCUCAUUACCGAGUCCGGGCUCCCACGAGCCCAACUCCCACCCGUGUCUACCGUUACCGCGUUGCUUUGGCGGGCCCACUGGAACCCCACGGUUCCGGUCGCCGGAGGACUAUUGCCCUCGGGCCCGCGCCCGCCGAGCACCCCUGAACCCUGUGUGAAUAGUGAGUCUGAGUGUCUAUUGAAUCGUUAAAACUUUCAACAACGGAUCUCUUGGUUCCGGCAUCGAUGAAGAACGCAGC